GAAGAGACAUUGUGAAGUCUUGCUAAAACCGUCAUCGAUAGUUUUCAAAAACUAUCGAUACGGGCGACAGUUCUCAACUAUCAAUACUAUCAAUAGUAUCCCAGCUCUACACAAUAGCACUCCAUUGUUCCGAUAUGAAAAGUUGGCAUAUUCAAUGAUCAUGAUAUGAAAUAAUGAACUGUUUGGAAUUUGAAAAUUUACUCAUUCCUCGCAUGUAUAGCGGACUCCUUUUAUGAGCUUAUAAGCUAUCUCACCUACCAUAAUUUUCCACUUAAAAUUAUUUUGCCAGACUAGAUUCAGAGUGGAAAUAGUACAAACUCUACGCUCAUCCAGCAACCCUGCCAAUCAAAACGCUAACUUUUUCAUCAGCAAGUACAUUUGUUGAUCAACUUCAAAGCCGUGCAAGUUGUUGGCAUCACCUUGUAGACGCAUCAGCAGGCCACCGAAGGAAACGUACGCUGAUAAUCUGGAAGACGCUUCAUUAUGAGCUUCAUCGCCUUCGAUUCGAUACACUUUUCCAAACAUAACAUAUUCGAAGCUAUCCGCACGUGUGCCUUCCUGUUCCAGCGGGUUAAAUUCGCCACUGUCCGGACAGCCGUCUUCUCGCAAAGUUGUAGCCAGCACCAAGCGGAAUUUAUCACCUAAUUCCAUGGGGUAUAA